GUAGUCGUGGCCGAGUGGUUAAGGUGAUCGACUAGUAAUCCAUUGGGGUCUCCCCACGCAGGUUCGAAUCCUGCCGACUACG
rnacentral:tRNA from 2 species